CAGAGUCGUAAAACACUCCCAACCCAUGUGAACUUACCUUUGUUGCCUCGGCAGGGCCUACCCUGUAGCUACCCUGUAGCUACCCUGUAGCCUGCCGGUGGACCAUCAAACUCUUGUUAUUUAAUGGAAAUCUGAGCGUCUUAUUUAAUAAGUCA
rnacentral:misc_RNA from 1 species